rnacentral:rRNA from 1 species
GAUCGGAGAGACUAACAGGAUUCCCCUAGUAACUGCGAGUGAAGCGGGAAAAGCUCAAAUUUAAAAUCUGGCAGUCUCUGGCUGUCCGAGUUGUAAUCUAGAGAAGUAAUGCCCGUGCUGGACCGUGUAUAAGUCUCCUGGGAUGGGGCGUCAUAGAGGGUGAGAAUCCCGUCUUUGACACGGACUACCAGUGCAUUGUGGUAUGCUCUCAAAGAGUCGAGUUGUUUGGGAAUGCAGCUCAAAAUGGGUGGUAAAUUCCAUCUAAAGCUAAAUAUUGGCGAGAGACCGAUAGCGAACAAGUACCGUGAGGGAAAGAUGAAAAGAACUUUGGAAAGAGAGUUAAACAGUACGUGAAAUUGCUGAAAGGGAAACGCUUGAAGUCAGUCGCGUUGGCCGGGAAUCAGCCUUGCUUUUGCAUGGUGUACUUUCUGGUUGACGGGUCAGCAUCAAUUUYGAUCGCUGGAAAAAGGCCUGGGGAAUGUGGCAGCUUCGGCUGUGUUAUAGCCCCUAGUCGCAUACAGUGGUUGGGAUUGAGGAACUCAGCACGCCGCAAGGCCGGGUUUCGACCACGUUCGUGCUUAGGAUGCUGGCAUAAUGGCUUUAAGCGACCCGUCUUGAAACACGGACCAAGGAGUCUAACAUGCCUGCGAGUAUUUGGGUGGAAAACUCAAGUGCGUAAUGAAAGUGAAAGUUGAGAUCCCUGUCGUGGGGAGCAUCGACGCCCGGACCAGAACUUUUGGGACGGAUCCGCGGUGGAGCAUGUAUGUUGGGACCCGAAAGAUGGUGAACUAUGCCUGAAUAGGGUGAAGCCAGAGGAAACUCUGGUGGAGGCUCGUAGCGAUUCUGACGUGCAAAUCGAUCGUCAAAUUUGGGUAUAGGGGCGAAAGACUAAUCGAACCU